AAUACCCUGCCAUGUUCGUGAACAACGAAGUUUCUUUGAGCCAACACCGGUUGUAAACGGAGCUCGGAGUUCGGUUGCCAGCGGCACACCCCGCAAGGGGCAGCCAGAAAACAGCCGACAGAGCGUCCCCUUUGAUAAGGGGUUCAAAGACAUCGUUCAAACGGCAUUACGGCGGGGUAUUU
rnacentral:other from 1 species